rnacentral:lncRNA from 1 species
UAUUGAUAUUGUAGUUUUCAUUUAUUACUCUGUACAGGUAUGUACAACUACCUUGACAAUACAUUUUCAUUAAAAUAAAAUGGAAAUUCUUCAUGGGGCAGAAAUUGACGUGUAGUGAAAUCUAGCGUUUUUGCUACGCUUUCACUACGAUGCCCACAUUGUGCGCAUAGCUUUAGUUUUGAUCAAUGAAACUCUCCUACAUGGCCAUUAUCCUCAAGGGAUACGUAUUUUUUUUUUAAUAUCUACAUUAGCUUUAGAUAACGACAGCUUUUAACAGCAUAGAUUAAGAGCCAUCUAUAUAAACGGGCUAUCAACAAACAUUACUGCUUAUCGGGUAAAUCUCCCGCAAAACGAGUUUCACUUCGGGUUUUUCUUUUCAGCGCUUUCUGGUUAAUUCCGUCGCGAUCGCCAUCUGGCCCGCUCGUCGCUUUCUAUCCUCUUAUUGCAUUUACUAUUUGGCUUUCCAAUUGGCCCCUAAGCAUACACAAGUUGCUGUUGGUCGGCUCGUGUGUAUUGCUUUGCCUUUUCUCCAUGUACAAGCUAUGCGCACAAUGUGGGCAUCGUAUUUGUUUUACCAGCACGUACCAACAGCUAACCAACAUAUAUCCCUAGUUGUUUAUGAUACUAACAUGGACACCGCCUAAUGUUCUCUGCGGACGGCUUAAUACUGAACUACGGCGUCCGUCAUCAGCCAGCCAACCGGCGAUAUCGCCUCCAUCACGGGCUAGGAGUGCGACGUAGGUGUCCCGCUUUCUCUAUUCCGCCCUCAAUCUGUAGUAAGGCGCUUACCCGUAGUGCGCGUCUACCUGUCAUUAUGGGCAAGCAACGUCCCUUUGUUCAUGCGCAUAUUUCUCUGCACGAGUGCAUAUGUGCAUGUAUAUUAGAAGAGACUUGUCGAACUCCGAUUUUAUCUUUACGGCCAAAUUUUACCGUACGCUCCAGGUCGCUCCCUCCUACGGUGAAUGAGUGGCGUACCAUCGUUUCUGUCAAGCUUCGAUGCCUUUUCUCGGCCCCUUUACCCUUCACCUGUCACUCUAUCUAUCUGCGAGUCCACAUUUCAUUCCGUAUUGCCGUUCCGAAGCGUUAUGUCUACCUGUUUUGAACCUAUGCCGGCCGUCGAGCACCUGGCCACCGCCAGUGGUCACGGUCCUUUAUCGGCGUUACCGUCCUGCUCAAAAAUGAGAGUAACAAAAUAGUAGCAUGUAUUAAACUAAUGAACGAUCCAACAUUUACCGCCUAUCCUUAACAAUGAUUCAAUGAGUCGAGGCUCUUCGAGACUAUGUAAUUGGAUCAACACCGCUAUCUUGUUCCGCGCUUACGCCCACCGUCGCUGUUAUCUUGCGGCGGAACGGCGAUGGCCUUCGCCACUACGACUGCCCUAGUUGCAAGGUUUCUUCGCGGUCGUCACGAAAUUAAGAGAACACGAUCAUUGUCGUAUUAGUGGUCCAGAUUAAGGCGGGUGCAAUAACGAUGUUGGUUGUAGUGGUGGACAUUGCUGACAUCAUAGUCGUUGUUGUUGUCGGCCUAGCGGGCGCGGGCGGUCGAGCGAGCGGAUGUACGAUAGCCAACAUCGUCGUAAUUGUUCCGGGAGUGCCAGCGGUCCAACUGGACGGAAUCAACGAGCGAGUUACCUCGUUCCCGUGUCUGGCUGUCUACCGGUAGUCACUUCAACCUAUGACGCUUUCAACGGACAACGCACCGUGUCCAGCAUUGCCGACUAACUUAAAUUUCAAACAAAAACAGUCAUUUUAUUGAACACCGAUUCCAGUGGAAGACCUAUCAAAGACAUGAUGUCGUCAAGGCUUCACUGACAUAUCAGUAGUUGGAAAAAAACAUAACCUUCCCUCCGAAGCAAGAUCGACAACAAUUUCUGGUGAUUCACCGCUGUUACCGCUAAAGCCAGCUGCAAUCAAGCUACGCUUUAGGUCGCACACAUCGAGUCCUAGGCUAUUUGGCUAGAUUACGCGGAAUGUGGGUUCAACAUUUUUGUCACCAGCAACCUGUAGAAAGACAAAAACGCCAACAACCCUUCGGCCAAAUCCUGUCUCCCCCUUAAUUCGGCUUCUCUCCGCACCUCACCCUUAGUUCGGCUCUUGGCCAGUGCCGAGUAGCGCGUGUGUGGGUCGAAUCGACGGCACCAUCCGUCAAUUUCGCGAAUCGGCCAACAAUAGCACCGACAGCGGCUGUUGGUGUGGUUUCUCUAUGCCUGUUUAUGGGUGAUGCUGUAUGUAGGCCGUAGGCUGCAGUAGGCGUGUGUUGCUCUGCAAGAGUCGUCCGUUCGUUGGCUGGCUUGGACAACCUAUCUGUUUCUAGCUAGGCCGUGCCCGUGUAACCCGUCGUAAGAGAGUUCUGCUGAUGAAAGCGAUUCAACAGUGAACGGUGGGUCGAUGUGUGUUUGGUGCUGAUUCCUGCUGGGCCGAUUGCUACGCCGUUGCCCCUCCUGUGGUGGCAGAACUGGUUGUUGAUUAGGAACGAAUCUUCGUCGCCGUCAUCAUCCGAGCAGUCUGAACGACCUGCCGCUGCUGCUGUUGUUACCGAGAGAUUUAGACCUGCCGCUGCUGCUGCUCACUUAAUGCUGUUGUUGGUGUGGCUAGUGCGAACAGCCGCAAUAGUUACAGCAUCGGCGGCACGGGCGCACGUUAGGCGGUGAACAGUAUCUGUAUUGUUUGCCUGCUUUCGGCAGUGUAAGUAAUACUUGUAGUACGAUAGCAUUACAGUAGCGUGCUAGAUGCUGAGGACCGACAGCGUUGCAACCGAUAGUAACGAAAUCAUUGGCUGAAAAAAGCAGCAGCAGCAGCAGCAGCAGUAGCAACACGAACAGAUCGCUGUGUUAUCGAUGCGGUGGCCGUAUGGACUGGGGAGGUGCGUGCGUUGCGUGUCGAGGCAAUAGGAGACAUUUUGCGUGACGUUACAUCACUAGUUGUCAUAGGCGACGGCGACGGCGGCGAAGGUUUUCGUACGAGAAACGACCGUGAAGCUGACUAACGGAGGAGGUGGAUAAUUUCGCUCGACGGCGUCAAAUGUAGCAGUAAGGCCGACAACGAGAAAACGAUGCAAAGUUAUCUCCGUAAGAACUUACACUACUGCUAGGUGGAAUACAAUCGAAGUCAUCACCAUCAUCAUCAUCAUCAUCGUCACUAGUAUCUCUGCGUGGUACGCACGCAACAACCCAGCCCCACCGGUGGCUACCGUUCGUUCUGGUAUCGACCAUCAUCAGAAUCUAAUUGUGGCCUUAGUGCGCGUCCCGUGUUUUCAGUCUGCCUGCCAGUCGUUAUUCAACGACAAAGACAUUGCAUUUAGCAGCAUUAAACUGUAGCAACGCGUUGUCGUCGUAUUUAUCGCGCUGUGUCUCUCUCGAGCAAAAAAAAAUCGAUUUCCGUUGAUCAGGACCGGUGCCUAAGUGCAAGUGAAGGUGCCGCUAGCAGGAACGGCGUCAUCGUACGACGUGAGGGUUCCAUCGGGUUUGAUCGUUUCCGCCGAAAUUUGUGCUUGCUUAUGCGAAAUCGUGAUUUGUGGCCGGUAUAUUGUAAGGUGCCAACUAGACAACUUCAAGAAUAACACCAAACGAUCCGGAGAAAGUGACCGCUGCUGGAGAGUGUCAGCAAACGCAACGACAAUACCGACGAUAACGAGUAAAAAGAGCAAAUCUGCACGACGACCAAAAGAGAACGAGGCAAAAGAAGCAACAACACAUUCAGAGAGGUGUCGACGGCGCGUCGAGCAUUGACUGCUACCUGUCUCAACGAGCACUUCAGUCGGAAAGAACAUAGUGACAGUGACGCAGAACGGCGUCGAGUAACGUGCGAUCCAAACGUGAUCGGUGACGCUAGCGACGCGAUAAAUAUCUAGGCAAUAGCGUCAAGACAUUCGUGAUUUAUUCACCGGUGUUCACUGCGUGUUUUGUGGUCGUUCCCGCCCGUGUUUAGGGUGUGUACGUGCAUGCCAGUGACAGCGGCAUUUGCCGUGGAGUUUCAAUAAUCGGUUGAAGCAGAGUAGUGUGUGAGACAUAGCUCGUGGUGAUUUUUCGUGGCACCUGCUCGCCAGUGUAGUAGUUUGUGCGCGUGGAAAUAGCCAUCCAGCACCAGCGUUCCAGUAGCUGCAACGCUGCCUGUGGACUUCGCAGCUGGUAAAAACGAAAAGAGAGUCCUUCAGAAGCCCAGGCUGUGACCUUACCCGGCGACUUUAUCAGCGCUUUGUCUUGCGUCAGAAUUAAAUGUCGGAACAAUAAUAACCAACCACAGCGAAAAUAGAGCUAUAUCUGAGCAGAACACUAGACUACCCAAACGCUAAACUUCGUAAAAAAAGAAUUUGGAAAAAGGAAAAGUUCUUCAGGAUUUUUCAGUCUCCUUUUGUGUCUAUUAAGAGCGAUUGUACCA